UUCUACAGCCCUACUACCUGGAAUGUGAUCAAUCUCGUCUAAUCUCAGAAGCUAAGCAGAGCUGGGCCUGGUUAGUACUUGGAUGGGAGAAUAAGUGACAAAAGGAUGCAGUACAUG
ensembl:rRNA 5S_rRNA 5S ribosomal RNA